UUGACUCAGCAUUAAUUGGGAAGGGGUAGUGGGAGACGCGUGUCAACGACCAUUAACACUCCUGGCUUCAUGCGAUCUCAACCGUUGAUGGGGAUUGCUGAUCCUACGGUGGCGCAGGAGACCUGCACGCGACUUGAUCUGAGGGAUCUGAACACGGCACGUGUUCAAAUCGGACAGCUUCGAGGGGAGCCAUAUUUAAACUCAAUUUUUUGCUUCGUUCAUUUUUCAUUUUUUGUUUUGAAAACUCAUCCCCUCUCUCUCGUGUCUCCCGCUUUUUCUCUUCUUCUGUUCCUCUCUCUUUUGAUACCCAUUUUCUUUGCAACCUGGAUCUCCAAGCACGAAACCUCAGGGUUUCAUGUUUUUUCCUCCUCUAUGCCCAACCUUGAACCUAGAAAACCUUAGAUCUGCUAGUCUCCAUCCUCUUAGAUCUCUCAUCCAUUGAAAACCAAACAACUCAACGAAUCCCUAGAUUUUCAAACCCUCUCAAUUUUUCCCUAUUCAUAGUGAGACAAAUCUGAAAGCCUCAUCUUGCUUUAUCUCAGGUCUCUGAAAUUUGAGAUGAGGGAGCUAUCCGAGCACCGGAGGGGCUCAGAGUGAGAGACCACUGGGUUCCGCAGGUUCAAGCCGGGGUGCAUUCGAAGCAGAGAGUGAUCCUGAGGGUCCAUGUGGCAGAUGAGGAAUGGAGGGCUUUCGGGAUGCUUCCAGAUGGCGGCACCAGGAUGGAGGGAAGGGCAACCUUGGUUUAUUUAUCUUUUGUGAUUUUCUUUUGCUAUUACUAACCAAUCUUAUUUUGCUUCUCAGUGUGCUGAGGUGAUCCAGAUGUCAGCGCAGGAGAGGAGGGCUUUUUGGAUGUCUCAGCUUGGCAAGCCCGGAUUGGAGCAUGGAGGGAUUAAACACUUGUUUCUUCUUUUUUUAUUUUGACUUUUAUAAUCAUUAUUGCGUGUUUGUUAUGCUUUGUGUACACGUAGGUAACCCCGAGCAAAUUUCCCUGCGGUUGUAGUUUGUACGGCUCCUUUGUAUUGUGACCUUUAGUUACACGCUCCCUGUAACUCUUGGGACAUUUAUAUUUCUGCAUGCUUGUGUGUACAUUGUACAUAUUCCCCAGUCAUAAAUUCCUUCUUGACCAA